AAUAAAUGAGGGGAGAAAAAAAGAAACUAACAAGGAUUCCCUUAGUAACGGCGAGUGAACAGGGAAAAGCCCAGCACCGAAGCCUGUGGCCAUUUGGUUACUAGGCAAUGUGGUGUUUAGGUCAUUCCGCGUUGGCGCUGCUCCAUUCCAAGUCCAGCAAUGAAUACGGUAAUGCUGACAUAGCCCAAAGCGGGUGAAAGGCCCGUGGGAGUGGAGAUGCAAAAAUGACAGUGCCUUCCUGGAUAGACCUUGGAGUCGGGUUGUUUGUGAAUGCAGCCCAAAGUGGGUGGUAAACUCCAUCCAAGGCUAAAUACUAACACGAGUCCGAUAGCGAACAAGUACCGUGAGGGAAAGUUGAAAAGUACUUUGAAGAGAGAGUAAACAGUGCGUGAAACCGCUCAGAGGUAAACGGGUGGAGUUGAACUGUGAACUCUGUGGAUUUAGCUGGUGAGCAUGGUUUGAGCUUGGUCAAAUUGGCUGAAGUGCGGAGUCUGCGGAUUAGCAGGUCCUCGCCUUUUGGUGGGGAUGCGUGAGGCACUCAUCAGGUGUUGCGCGCUCCGUACUGAAUCGGGCCAGCUUGCCAGUGCACUUUCACAGAGUGGUCACCACGACCGGCAUUGCUGUCGGACUGUUGUGGUUAAACCGGUCUUGCAUUGUCCUUGUGACUUUGUUUGGUCGGGAUGGCAGGUAGCUCGUUGGCUUGCUUGUGGUUCGCUGCAGGCAUUUGGUCUUCGGGUGUAAUCAGCUGACCACAUCAGUACUGUGCAGUAUGCCGGAGACGGCGGCUUGUGGUGUGCGCGUUCGUGCCCGUUUGGCUGGGCGUGUCCGGGUUUUGGUUAAUUAUGAUUGCCCGGUGUGGUGCAGGGCCCUGAAUGAUUAGCCCCGGAAUUCUUUUCGGGUCCGACCGGUUUGCGGUUUCGGUUCCACUUGGAUACCCAAGGGGCUCAAUAAGUCCUGGUGGGUGGUUGGCGGGGAAGAACUUUUCCCACCCUUGAACCCCGUCCUUUGGAAAACCCCGGGAACCCAAUGGGAAGAGGUUAACCAUUGGUGCGGCGGAAGUUCAUUUUGGGGGCCGAUAAACCGGAAAACCCCCAAAAAAAGGGCAAAAAUUUGUGAAAAAGGGAAAAAAGGGGGNCAGGGGGGCCCNGGGCCCCAGGGGA
rnacentral:rRNA from 1 species